ACAGCGCAACAAUGAAGCGCUUGGGUAUCGCUAAAUUUCAUUUUAAAAGCAUUUUCAUUUACAUUUUGUCCAUUUGAUUUUGCCAUUGAAAUUUCGAAGCGAAAAACUUUUCCGCCGGCAAAUUUUAUUGUUUCGCCAUUAUUACAGGUGCGAGUGUUUCUGUGUGCGGGGCCCCCAAAACAAUUUUAUGACCCCAACGUGGCGGCCAAAUUUUAACGACGCAUCUUCGGAAUUUGUUUAAGAAAUCUAUAAGAGCGCAGCACAUUUUCUUAUUGCUUUCGGGCUCCCCUUUACAGCCAUUCGAGUGCACCGUAAAAAAUUUGUAAUCUAUGCUGCUUUAAAUAAUACACAGGUGGGUUGGGAUUUCCAUUUUAUAGGUGUCUUAAGUAAUAUAGCACAAAUCCCUUGCCCGCAACUCCAAUAAACAUUUCGAUAAAAUA